UGCCCUAUAGCUCAACUGGCAGAGCAGGCGGCUGUUAACCGCUUUGUUGUAGGUUCAAGUCCUACUGGGGCAGCCA
rnacentral:tRNA from 2 species